CCGCAACUACGCUGACCCCUAUAUUUGCGCUCUUAUUCUCUCAUGUGACCUGUUUGCUGACGAUGAUUGAAUCUGUCCUCUGUAAUGCGAGCGGCUCAAUCUUGAGGAGGCAUCGGUGACGUGCAGAUCGCCAGCUCGGUUUAUUUUAACGCCGCUGCAGCACCAUGGUAGAAAUGCGAGUUUGAAGGGGAAAACGACGCAGCACGCCAGCUGUUGUCGCCGGUCGUGUUUUCCCGGUGGCUGACGACGCAGGAAAACUGUCGUGAGUGUUGCGCCGCGUGAGCAGCAGUGGCGCGUCCGCCCUUUUGUAUUAUUAUUAGUUUGCCCGAGCCUACAGCCCAUGGUUGUUGUCCGGCGCGAACAUUAGCACAAAUAGGUCGUCUGCUCGCGCCCGCCUCUUGUUUAUGUGUCAUUAAUUGGAGUGGAAAUAACGCGUCUACGAGUCAAUCUCUUUUGCUGUAUGCACACACACGCUUGAUUUUAUUUUCCAUCGCACGAGACAAAACACAAAAACCUGCUGCGCGCGCUCAGACGAUCGAUUGUAAAAUGGACACAGAAAAUACAUUAGCUGCAUUAAAUUCACAUGCAUAUAUCAACAAUACCGUUAUUUAAAAUCACUUGAAAGAGGUUGUGUGCUUUUGCUUCUUGAAAAUUUAUUUUGGAACCGUUGUGACAAAUUUUAGCUUGCUUCACAGAAACUUCAGGUAGUAAACGUAUCAACAAAAAUUAAA